UAUAAACAAUAAAAACUCCUUAUACUCAAUCCUAACAAUUGUUAAAUCUUCACGGCUAAGGAUUUCAAUUGUCAUUUGUAAGGAUUUGGAGGGGCAUAAUUGACAAUUCUCAUCCCAUUCCCCUUGCUUAAAAACCCAUAGGAAAAAAAAAAUGAAUGAAAGGAAAAAAAAAAGAGGGGGGAUGACAGAAUGUAAAAGAAGAGAGAAAACACCAAAUUCUUCAUUUGCAUGGUCUACCUCCAAGCCAACCCACAUCAUUCCUUUUCAAUAUAUUCUUCUUACAACAAUAUUGAAUACAAAUGAGGAGAGUAAGAUAGAAAUAAAGAGUAUUAGGUUUCAUUCUUGGAGAAACACAAAGAAGUUUGAAGAUGGAAGUCAAAUGAGGAUUAUUAUCAAUGAAUGAAAUUAAAACUCAACCUUAGGAAAAGACACAGCUCUCCCACAUCUACAAGUUAAGGUAACAUGUAAACAUUGAAAGUCUGAGGAGUAUCCGGAUUUGCUCACCAGUCCUUCAAUGUCAUGUGUCGGAGUCGGAUCACGUCUUGAGUCUAGAUUAGAGUCAUAGUUUAAUUAAGUCUCACUUGAAAGUUGUUUUAAAUUUGUAAGUAUUUAGAUAUUUAUGAAUUAAAAGUCUCAGUUUCAUUUGCAUUGUGUAUAUUUCA